rnacentral:snoRNA from 1 species
UAGAUGAUGAGACACAGCACUGGGCACUGAGUAUGAAUUUCAUGAGUGACAAUGCUUUAAGUGGGCCUAGAAAACCCACGCUACUGAUUUG